GACGAACGCUGGCGGCGUGCUUAACACAUGCAAGUCGAACGCUGAAGCUCAGCUUGCUGGGUGUGUGAGUGGCGAACGGGUGAGUAACACGUGAGUAACCUGCCCUCUUCUUUGGGAUAACGCCCGGAAACGAGUGCUAAUACUGGAUAUUCACUGAUUCUCGCAUGGGGGUUGGUGGAAAGGUUUUUUCUGGUGGGGGAUGGGCUCGCGGCCUAUCAGCUUGUUGGUUGGGUGAUGGCCUACCAAGGCUUUGACGGGUAGCCGGCGUGAGAGGGCGACCGGUCACAUUGGCAUUGCCACACGGCCCAGACGCCUACGGGAGCCAGCAGUGGGGAAUAGUGCACACAGAGCCAAAGCCUGACGCGGCGACGCCGCGGGAGGGAUCGAGGCCUACGGGUUGUAAUCCUCUUUCGCUCACGGUCAUGCCGCAGCUUUGGGUCGUGGUGAGGGUAGUGGGUAAAGAAGCUCGGGCUAACUACGUG
rnacentral:rRNA from 1 species